UAGGGAAUCUUCCACAAUGGGCGCAAGCCUGAUGGAGCAACACCGCGUGAGUGAAGAAGGGUUUCGGCUCGUAAAGCUCUGUUGUUAGAGAAGAACGUGCGUGAGAGCAACUGUUCACGCAGUGGACGGUAUCUAACCAGAAAGUCACGGCUAACUACGUGCCAC
rnacentral:rRNA from 1 species